ACCAAUCCUCCCAACAGUUGGGAUGAUUUUUUUUUGGAUGUGGUGUUAGUAGCCAUUGUCACCUUCAAGCUGUAUAUUAAGCUGCCUGCAGUGGAAGUUUAUCAAGUUUAAUAUUACCAGAAGUGGACCCUUAAGUAAACAAUGACAAAUCUGAAUGGAGGCAGAGAGAACCUGCUGCAAAAUCCACUGUGGGCAAUCUCCAUGCAGAUCUCAUUUUCCUGUUCAUUGCGUCACCUAGCUACAGCACAGCACUUCAACAUGUAAUUAAUGCAACUUUUUAGAUACAGCUGUUUGUUUCUGCAGCCACAACAUCAGAAAUACACCGUAAUUUCGGUGCUGAGAUGGUCGGGUGAUUGCCUCGGCUCAUCACUGUUCACAGAAUGUGCUGGUGGCUUGAUUGUGGCCCGCAUGAGAAUCAGCUGUUUGCCCAUUUGCUAGCCCCUUUAGUCACAAGCUCUCCUAAGGGUACACAGCUCAGUUAGGGAUGCUGAUGAAAUGCAACCGACACACAGUAGCAACACACUGCAAGCAUCAGAGCCUGUGAAUAAUUUUAAUUCCCUUUUAAUACUUCAGGGGCCUUUUCCUGAAACAAAUAGUAUGUGUGCAUGCUUCCCUGUGGCUAACAGCAUCCUGUCAGCUUUAGUUUUGGUUUGUAUAAAAGAGAUGAUUAUU